AUGCAACGUUCCCCAACACUUGAUUCCACUCAAUGUGUAUUAUGUGAUGUUGAAGAUAAUGAAGACAAAAUGCAUCUACUAUUCUCUUGUCCUUUCAGCCAGGGUUUUUGGUGGAACAUUGGUCUUGAAUGGAACACAUACCUAAAUAUUCAUGAUAUGAUUAUUGAAGCUCAUCAAAGAUAUCGACAACACCAUUUCAUGGAAAUUAUGAUUAUUGGAUGCUGGAGUAUAUGGAAUCAAAGAAAUGAUCUGAUAUUUGAAGGAAUCCCAUGCUCUAUCAAUGAUAGCAGAUAUGAAUUUAUCAAAACUUUCAAAUUGACUAUGCUAAGAGCCAAACCUAGUCUAAAGGAGGGCAUGUCAUCUUGGAUUGAUAACAUCUAA
rnacentral:rRNA from 1 species